CGGGGUAUGGCGCAGCCUGGUAGCGCGCCUGCUUCGGGAGCAGGAGGUCGUGAGUUCGAAUCCCACUACCCCGACCA
rnacentral:tRNA from 1 species